GCCAGACUCCUACGGGAGGCAGCAGUGGGGAAUAUUGCACAAUGGGGGAAACCCUGAUGCAGCGACGCCGCGUGAGUGAAGAAGUCAUUCGUGAUGUAAAGCUCUAUCAGCAGGGAAGAAAAUGACAGUACCUGGACAAGAAGCCCCGGCUAACUACGUGCCAGCAGCCGCGGUAAUACGUAGGGGGCAAGCGUUAUCCGGAUUUACUGGGUGUAAAGGGAGCGCAGGCGGCGUGGCAAGUCAGAUGUGAAAACCCGGGGCCCAACCCCGGGAGUGCAUUUGAAACUGCCAUGCUGGAGUGCCGGAGAGGUAAGCGGAAUUCCUAGUGUAGCGGUGAAAUGCGUAGAUAUUAGGAGGAACACCAGUGGCGGAGGCGGCUUACUGGACGGUAACUGACGCUGAGGCUCGAAAGCGUGGGGAGCAAACAGGAUUAGAUACCCGUGUA
rnacentral:rRNA from 1 species